rnacentral:rRNA from 1 species
CAGCCGCCGCGGGAAUACAGAGGAUGCAAGCGUUAUCCGGAAUGAUUGGGCGUAAAGCGUCUGUAGGUGGCUUUUCAAGUCCGCCGUCAAAUCCCAGGGCUCAACCCUGGACAGGCGGUGGAAACUACCAAGCUGGAGUACGGUAGGGGCAGAGGGAAUUUCCGGUGGAGCAGUGAAAUGCGUAGAUAUGCGGAGGAACACCGAUGGCGAAGGCAAUCCCCUGGGCCUGCACUGACGCUCAUGCACGAAAGCGUGGGGAGCAAACAGGAUUAGAUACCCGGGUAGUCCCUGUCUCUUAUAC